CGAACGGGGGUAGCAAUACCCCAGUGGCAGACGGGUGAGUAACACGUGGUCAACCUACCUCUGUGUGGGGGAUAACUAGCCGAAAGGUUAGCUAAUACCGCAUACGAUCGUUUUGAGGCAUCUCAAGACGAUGAAAGGAGCAAUCCGCACGGAGAGGGGACUGCGUCCCAUUAGUUAGUUGGUGGGGUAACGGCCUACCAAGACUCCGAUGGGUAGCUGGCUUGAGAGAGCGACCAGCCACACUGGAACUGAGACACGGUCCAGACUCCUACGGGAGGCAGCAGUGAGGAAUUUUCCGCAAUGGGCGAAAGCCUGACGGAGCGACGCCGCGUGUGGGAUGAAGGCCUUCGGGUCGUA
rnacentral:rRNA from 1 species